ACCUACCUAAAGGCUGGUGUAUUGUGAAACAAAAACAUCGUAAAGAGGAUGCUGUCGGUGCCUCGGUGGGAAUGAAUUUCCUAGUUUUCCGAUUUACUAGGAAAACUCAAAAUCUUUCACAGAUUAUCUUGGUACUAAUAAUUUAAGAAAAGAAAAAUAAAAAAGGGUAAUCAAACUGAAAAGUGGGGCUCCUCUGUUGUCCUCGUUUUCCGGCCAGGGUUUUCUGAUACCUGGAGGCUGGAAACUUUGUCAAUUUUAGUUGCAGAAGGACUUCUCAAUCUUCUUGCAUACCCUAACACCCAGAUCAAUUCGCAGAAUCCAAAAACAUUGAGUUGUUUUUCGACCUCUCCGGGACUGAAUUUCACCUGGGUUCUUAACUAAUUAGACUGAAGGCGUCCAUAUACCUAUUUUUUCACCAUUGAAGAAUAUGGCAGCAGGUUUCCGCCAAUGGGAAUCCGAUCCUCUAUUUUGUGCAGCUGAAGUUGUUCAGGAUUCUGCAGACAGGAUGGACUCAAUUUUCCGAAUGCUGUUGCACGAGCAAAGUAUUGUUCAAGGCGACUCUUCAGACCCCAAGCUCCUUAGUUCAUUGGAGUAUCAUAAGCGUGAUCUCAUGACUGCUCUAGGAACAGCCAAAUGGCAGUUGGAGGAUUUUGAAAGGGCUGUGAACCUGUCAGCUUUAUCAGAUAAGUCCCAUCUGAGGGAAAAUGCUAUUUCCCAACACAAGCAAUUUAUUAGAGCCAUUAGAGAACAGAUUAUUCAAGUGGAGAAAAGUCUUCCAUUGGUGGGGGAUUCUGAUAGAAACUCUCAAUUUGUAAACAUAAAUGAACAAGACAGAGAUGUGUUGGCUUUAUUUCUCUCUGGUGGAAACCCUGAGGACCACCAUGUGCACUAUGACACAGAAGGUAGUAGUAUUAUGAAAAGGUUUCUUGAUUCAACCACAGCUUCUGGAUUCGAUAACAAAAGUGAUGAGAUUGUUGAGCUAAAAACUGAAGAAACUAAGGACUCAAAGCUGAAUGGAGUUAUGCAUUUAGAUAAUAGUUUUGAUUCAUCAAAGGAGCACAAGUUAAGGAAAUUAGUUGCUCAUUAUCCUGCAGGGUUGGGUUUUGAGGCAUCAGUUUCCCAGCAGGGAUACUCUGGUAAUAGAAAUGGUGAAAGCGGGAGUUGGGAUUUGGAAAAUUGUGAUUCUAAUGCAAAAAGUUUCUCCUCUAAGAACAAGUUGAGAGGAUCCAAUUAUACAUUGGAUGUGUUACGGUUCUUGGAUAAUCAUUGGUCUGCAUUUAGAAGUAAGACUACAAGAAGCUCCGCAAAAAAGUGGAAAGAUGGAGAAAUGGGAAUGGAGUUUGAUCAUAGGCCAUCCUCCUCGUUAAUUGACAUGUCCCAAGUUGAACAGGCUCAUAAUACCCAGAAUGGGUUAGCUUCUGGAUUUGGAGGUUACCAUAGAUUAUGUUUCAAGGUGCUUAGAAAUACCAUGAAAUCAUGUAGCUUGUUUGGUUGUAAAGGGAGACUCCAAAGGCUGCUGUAUCUUAUCCAAGUUAAUCACCUUCCUCUGUGGUCGAUAUCAGCUAUACUCAUUACGCUAAUAGUUUUAGGUCUUGGGUCCCCUUGUUGAGCCAUCGGAGCAACAUCCAGCUGGGGACCACUGGACUUUCAUUUCUGGUCUUCAAGACUUACUUUCAUCAACGAUGUUGGUCUUGGGGCGAAGGGGAAUGUUACGAAUUGCCAGAUUUGGCAAGUUAUAUCAGCAGAACAGAAGAAAAAGGUAUUUUGGGUCUUUGGUUGAUCAGGUGACACCCAGAUUUGAACUGAGGGAAAGGGGACUGCAGACUCUGAGAUAGAGGAGACUUUAAGGAGAUUUUGUUGAGAUAAGGCAAGUAUCAUCAAGUAGUUGCAGAAGUCAGGCCUCAGACUCGCAGAAGGAAAGUGAAAACUAUCUUGAGGUUUCACUGCUUUGAAACAAUAAGUUUCACAAUCUCGCAAAAAUUUCGCUUGAAAUGUUUCUUCUUUAAGAACUUGGAAGGUUCCAAUGCCCAAAACUCAUUGAAAUGGUAAAUAUCAAGGUCUUUUAUAUGCUAGAUGAGUUCCCCUCGCAAUUGAGAUCAACGAGAUAAACAAGUUUCCAAGGUCUUCGUUUGCUCUUGGUUUCUUAUCUCACUCACGGUUCAUGUUUUGUAGUUUUAAAGGAGCAUAUCAAGGUGUAUCGAGUAUAUUGAACCUGUAUCCAUCGGUAUAAGUCGAUACAAGCUAUCUUAGUUUCUCAAGUUGUUUGAGGGCAUUGUUAAGUGGAUGUUGCAGAGAAUCCAUGGUUCCAGCAGAUUGUGUACGUGGCUAAUCUCUACAUUCUUGGCAUGGGUGUGUCCUCUUCAGAUUCCUCUUUUCUAUUGCCUUUUAAUCUCUUUAUAUUGAUGUAAAGAGAUUUAUCCACUUCCUAAUGGUUGCUGUGACUGGAAUCAUGAUAUUUUUUGCCUGCUAUAUGUGAGCUGCAAGCCUGUUAAAAACAGCAUACUGAAAAAUUUUCAGCAUCUUCCACACAUAUAUGAUAUGUCUUGUAUGGAAAUUGAUUUUUGUUAUACCAAUACAUGGAUAAUAAUUUCAUAAGCUGGUGAGCAUGGUGCUAUUGAGUUUUCUAGUAUCAGAGUGGAGUCCAACUGAGUCACUGACAAUAUUUGUACCACUGUUUAUUCAAGUAAAUUGCUCCCAUUUUCCCAUCCAACUACGGAUUAGCUUCUAAAACACUAGACUUAGAUUGUACCAAUUGUCUACAAACAUCAUCAAGAAUUUAAGAUGCAAGGAGCAGGGAAUAUGGCCCAUUGAAUUAUAGUAACCCAACAGUCUAUUAGAUA